UGGGGAAUUUUUCCGCAAUGGGCGAAAGCCUGACGGAGCAAUACCGCGUGAGGGAGGAAGGCUCUUGGGUUGUAAACCUCUUUUCUCAGGGAAGAACGCAAUGACGGUACCUGAGGAAUAAGCAUCGGCUAACUCCGUGCCAGCAGCCGCGGUAAUACGGAGGAUGCAAGCGUUAUCCGGAAUGAUUGGGCGUAAAGCGUCCGCAGGUGGCAAUGUAAGUCUGCUGUUAAAGAGUGAGGCUCAACCUCAUAAGAGCAGUGGAAACUACAUAGCUAGAGUACGUUCGGGGCAGAGGGAAUUCCUGGUGUAGCGGUGAAAUGCGUAGAGAUCAGGAAGAACACCGGUGGCGAAAGCGCUCUGCUAGGCCUGUACUGACACUGAGGGACGAAAGCUAGGGGAGCGAAUGGGAU
rnacentral:rRNA from 1 species